rnacentral:ncRNA from 1 species
UAAAAUAAGAUGAUACUCAAAAGGGAGCAUGGUAAGAGUAAAGAAAUUUUUAGAGGAGCGGUGAUGGAGCGUUUGGUUUAAUUCGAUAUAAAGUGAAAAAUCUUAUUAGAGCUUCACAUGCUAUGAAUCCUAUUGAAAGAGAGGGAUGCCUUCGAGAAUGCAGACAUAGGUGGUGUUCGUUUAUCAUCGACUUGUGCCUUUAAGUAUUGUGGUAACGAGCAUAAUCCUCGUAUUUAGUUGUCAUCAUUAAGUUUGAAACCAUGAACAGACUACUAGGGAUAAAUCGAAAGAAGAUGAUGAUGACAUCAAGUUAUCAUACCUCUUAUGACUUGGUCAACACGUGAUACAAUAGUCAAGCCAAAGGGUCACGAUCCUGCAAGAGUAAGCUAACUCCAAAAACUCGUUUUUAAUUCGGAUUAUAUGGAGCAACUUGUUUGCAUGAAGCCAUUAUCACUAGUAAUUGCUGGUCAAUCAUACGUUGAUGAAUUUAUUCCUAAGCUUAAUACAUAUCACAUAUUAUAUUAUGGGAAUUGACAAUGCUCCAAAUCAUUACCUUAAGGAGAUACCAAAAGAGAUGCUGGAGUAAAAUUGAAAUAAGGUAGUUAUAUUGAAAGGUCCAAUUGGAUCUCCUUUCCC